AACAUAUCUGAGAGUAACUGUUCAGGUAUUGACGGUAUUUAACCAGAAAGCCACGGCUAACUACGUGCCAGCAGCCGCGGUAAUACGUAGGUGGCAAGCGUUGUCCGGAUUUAUUGGGCGUAAAGCGAGCGCAGGCGGUUUUUUAAGUCUGAUGUGAAAGCCUUCGGCUCAACCGAAGAAGUGCAUCGGAAACUGGGAAACUUGAGUGCAGAAGAGGACAGUGGAACUCCAUGUGUAGCGGUGAAAUGCGUAGAUAUAUGGAAGAACACCAGUGGCGAAGGCGGCUGUCUGGUCUGUAACUGACGCUGAGGCUCGAAAGUAUGGGUAGCAAACAGGAUUAGAUACCCUGGUAGUCCAUACCGUAAACGAUGAAUGCUAAGUGUUGGAGGGUUUCCGCCCUUCAGUGCUGCAGCUAACGCAUUAAGCAUUCCGCCUGGGGAGUACGGCCGCAAGGCUGAAACUCAAAGGAAUUGACGGGGGCCCGCACAAGCGGUGGAGCAUGUGGUUUAAUUCGAAGCUACGCGAAGAACCUUACCAGGUCUUGACAUACUAUGCAAAUCUAAGAGAUUAGACGUUCCCUUCGGGGACAUGGAUACAGGUGGUGC
rnacentral:rRNA from 1 species